rnacentral:rRNA from 1 species
ACGAACGCUGGCGGCGUGCUUAACACAUGCCAGUCGAACGGAAAGGCCCUGCUUUUGUGGGGUGCUCGAGUGGCGAACGGGUGAGUAACAUGUGAGUAACCUGCCCUUGACUUUGGGAUAACUUCAGGAAACUGGGGCUAAUACCGGAUAGGAGCUCCUGCUGCAUGGUGGGGGUUGGAAAGUUUCGGCGGUUGGGGAUGGACUCGCGGCUUAUCAGCUUGUUGGUGGGGUAGUGGCUUACCAAGGCUUUGACGGGUAGCCGGCCUGAGAGGGUGACCGGCCACAUUGGGACUGAGAUACGGCCCAGACUCCUACGGGAGGCAGCAGUGGGGAAUAUUGCACAAUGGGCGGAAGCCUGAUGCAGCAACGCCGCGUGCGGGAUGACGGCCUUCGGGUUGUAAACCGCUUUCGCCUGUGACGAAGCGUGAGUGACGGUAAUGGGUAAAGAAGCACCGGCUAACUACGUG